UACGUAGGGUGCAAGCGUUGUCCGGAAUUAUUGGGCGUAAAGAGCUCGUAGGCGGUUUGUCGCGUCUGCUGUGAAAACUGGAGGCUCAACCUCCAGCCUGCAGUGGGUACGGGCAAACUAGAGUGCGGUAGGGGAGAUUGGAAUUCCUGGUGUAGCGGUGGAAUGCGCAGAUAUCAGGAAGAACACCGAUGGCGAAGGCAGAUCUCUGGGCCGUAACUGACGCUGAGGAGCGAAAGCAUGGGGAGCGAACAGG
rnacentral:rRNA from 1 species